GCAAACUUGGUCAUUUAGAGGAAGUAAAAGUCGUAACAAGGUUUCCGUAGGUGAACCUGCGGAAGGAUCAUUAGUGAAAAAUGAAGACUCGGUUUCUGACUGGGCUUCGAAAUCUUCACAUCCAAACACUGUGCAACGGUUACAAGUGCAUUGAUGCUUCACUCUAGAGGUGUCGUCUUUGCCUUGUAUCAAUUUUAACAAACACAAGUCAUUUGCAUGUGCCUUUUGUGUAACUAUGAAAACUUUCAACAACGGAUCUCUUGGCUCCCGCAUCGAUGAAGAACGCAGC
rnacentral:misc_RNA from 1 species